UCCUUGGUGGUCCAGUGGUUAGGACUCUGCACUUUCACUGCCAAGGGCAUGGGUUCAAUCCCUGGUCUGGGAA
rnacentral:tRNA from 1 species